GAAGGUCAGCCGCCUAAUCAGUGCCCGCACGAAGCGAGCACUGAACCGGGGAACCACGUUUCCACUGGGGUGAAUCCCGCGCCGGACUUGACACCGGAUGUGGGUAGGGCCGUCUUCCAGGCCCGAACCCGUCAGCUAACUCGGUCGGCGGUCGAUGGAAGAAACA
rnacentral:sRNA from 2 species